AUGUUGAUUUAUACUGCCGUGCUUUACAUGAGCCGUACCAAAUGCAUAAAUUAUGAUAAUAUAGAAGAUUUAUAGUACGCGAGCGUUGAUUGGUCGAGAAGCGUGUUUCUACACGGGAAAUUUCCCGCCUAAACUUACAAUCGUAAGCAAAACAAUUUUAAUGGGCCUUAUCGGCAAAUUUCGCGGUAGAAUUUCCCUUUCUUUUCUUUAUAUACGUCAAUUUGUAGCAAAGGAUACAUACACCUUUCGUUAUAUUCUUUGCAUGAAAGUUGCGAAAUUAAGGCUUAUCUUGCAGUGUAAUUAAUGGAGCAAAGGUCGGCAUCAUUACGUAAUGCGAAUUUGUAAAUAUAUCGAGUCUACUACAAAUCUUUUUUUAGUUAUAUUAUGAAAUAAACUGAUAUAAAACAUUUAUUAUGUGUAACCCAUACAGUUAUAGAAACACUUGUAGUAGUUUGAGAGAACUCGAAUAACGUGGAAAAACGCGAAAAAGCCAGUGGCGUA